rnacentral:rRNA from 1 species
GAAGCAAAGAGAGCUGUGUUUUCCAUGCCUAGCGACAAGGCACCGGGCCCUGAUGGAUUCACGGGUGCCUUUCUCAAGGCAUGUUGGGAUACUAUCAAGCCGGACAUCAUGCUUGCCAUCAACCAUUUCUCUGAUCUCCAUGCUGCACACUUUCAUUGGUUGAACUCUGCCGACAUUUCUCUCAUUCCGAAGAAGGAUGGUGCCGAGGACAUUGGUGAUUUUCGUCCCAUCAGUCUUAUCCAUGUUAUUGCUAAGCUAAUUGCUAAGAUGAUGUCCAACCGGCUUGCCCCGCACAUGAAUGAGCUUGUCUCACACGCUCAAAGUGCAUUUAUUAAAAGAAGAUGCAUCCAUGACAACUUCAUGUAUGUGCGCAAUCUCGCGAGACGCUUCCAUCGUAGGAAAACCCCGGCGUUGCUCUUCAAACUUGACAUCAAAAAAGCCUUUGACUCGGUGCGUUGGGACUUCCUCCUCGACCUACUUCGACACCUUGGUUUCCCACCUCGCUUCAGAGGUUGGGUUUCAGCCCUGCUAUCCUCGGCUUCCUCUCGUGUUCUGCUCAAUGGCGUG